CGGAAGCGGCGGCCGGGCAGCCAUGUCGCCUUUGUCUGCGGCGCUGGCGGCCCUGCGGGUGUACGCGGUGGGAGCGGCGGUGGUCGUGGCGCAGCUGCUGCGCCGCCGCCUCCGGGGCUUCGCGGAGCCAGUUUUCCCCCUACAACUCGAGCGUGUUGCUAUAGUGACCGGCGGGACCGAUGGAAUUGGAUAUUCGACAGCGAAGCAUCUGGCCAAACUGGGCAUGCACGUUAUCAUAGGCGGAAAUAACCAGGGCAAAGCCGAAGAAGCUGUGAGGAAGAUAAAAGAGGAAACCCUCAAUGACAAAGUGGAAUUUCUAUAUUGUGACCUGGCGUCCAUGAGGUCUAUUCAGCAGUUCGUCCAGAGGUUCAAGAUGAAGAAAAUCCCGCUCCACGUCCUGGUCAAUAACGCUGGUGUAAUGAUGGUGCCGCAGAGGACCACCGAGGACGGCUUUGAGGAGCACUUUGGUGUGAACUACCUGGGGCACUUCCUGUUGACCAACCUCCUCCUGGACACCCUGCGGGAGUCGGGCGCCCCCGGCCGCAGCGCGAGGGUGGUGACCGUGUCCUCGGCCACACACUACGUCGGGGAACUGAAAUUGGACGACCUUCAGAGCAGCAAGAGCUACUCGGCGCACGCGGCGUACGCCCAGAGCAAGCUGGCCCUGGUGUUCUUCACGUACCACCUGCAGGCACUGCUGGAGGCCACAGGCAGCCCCGUGACCGCCAACGUGGCCGACCCCGGCGUGGUGGACACCGACCUGUAUAGACACGUCUUCUGGGGCACACGGCUCAUUAAGAAGCUGUUCGGCUGGUGCUUAUUCAAGACCCCGGAUGAGGGAGCCUGGACCUCCGUCUACACGGCGGUCACCCCAGCGCUGGAAGGCCGUGGCGGCCGCUAUCUUUACAACGAGAAAGAGACCAAGUCGCUGGCGGUCACGUACGACCUGGAGCUUCAGCGGCAGCUGUGGGCCAGAAGUUGCCGGAUGACGGGCAUCGCCGAUGUGACCCAGGAGGCCUUCCGGGGUUAGCCACCCGCCAGGGAGACCGUGAUCCGCCAGGCGCUCGCAGUGCUUCCCUGGAUGUGGGUGCCCAUCGCAGUCUGUCAGGCUCUUCCUGAACUAGUUUCAUCAUGGACCUUCCAGGGUCUGCAGACACCUCAUCUUUCAGCAGCGUGACGGCUGCCCUCUACGCCUUGGAAACAGAUGAAGAAGAUGUUAUGGAUUCUGUGUCGUGCAACCAGGAGACGUUGGUGUAAAAGGACAGGAGACCAGGACGUGUACGUUUGAGGUCCUCACCCCCUCACCUGCAUCCUGCUGUGGCUGGCAGAGCUGAGACCCCAGCGCCUGGGACUGUUCAUGUGGUGGCCUGAGAGGAACAAACCAGGGCCCCUUCUGCAGGUGCUCAGACUCUGCAGGACGUCCGCUUGGAUAAGGAACAUCCCGACACCCUUCCCGGGAGAACCAUAGGGUGACAAGGAGGCUCCCGGGGACCAUGGACCAGCACAAGGAAGAGAGCUGCCAGAGGGUCAGAAAUUCCUGACCCCCUUCAUCGCAGUUGCAGGAGGAGAGGUGAUGAUUACGGUGUGAACCCACAAGACGAUUUGUGGGUCCUGGUGGCCCAUGGCUCAGAUCACUGUGUGAAGAUGGGGGCACGUGGUCCCAGUGGAAGACCCUGCUUAUUCAAACAGCUCACUAUUAUGUCGUGUAUAAGAGUGUCCUGGACGGCUGUAACACAGGACCACAAACUGGGAGUCUGAAAAAAGCAGAAAUUCAUCCAGCCCCCGGUCCUGGAGACCAGACGUCUGAGGUCAAGGUGUCCCAGGGCUGUGCUCCCUCCAGAGGCCCCAGGGGAGGGUCCUUCCUGCCUCUUCCAGCUUCUGGGGGCUUCAGGGGUCCCUGGGCUUGUGGCCGCCACCCUCAUCCAAGAGGACCUCAUCUCAGACCCUUCACUUCCAUCCGGAUAAUCAAGAAUGAUCUCUUCAUCUCAAGAUCCUUCAUUAGUUACAUCUGCCAAGACCCUUUUGCCAACAAAGUCAUAUCCAUAGGUAACAGGGUUUAGGACGUGGUCAUAUCUUUUUGGUAGAAAGUAUUCAGUCCACUGCAUGGUACAUGAAUUGGAUACUUGGAAACUCAGGAAACAUCCAUUCCUUUUCUGGUGACCUGGAAAACCAUGGAGGUCACGGCUUCUUGUAUAUGUACCCAAGGCCGCUUUCCUGGGCGAGUGACCCAUGUAGCUUACACGGGACCCUGGCCUCAUAAGGACGCCUACUGGCUUAAUGCCCUAUGACCGCCAUCUUGAAAUUCUUAAUGAAGCGUGAACAAGGACCCACAUUUUCAUUUUGCCCUGGAACUGCCAAUGCGAUAGCCCUCUUUGCUCACAUUCCUUCCAACCUCAAGAAAGAGGAGCAAGUCUGCAGCCAAUAAGGACACCCCCACCCCCAGCACACCCUCCAUCCAGCCACUGAUGUGCUCAAGCCUACCUUUCAUGGGUGGUGAAGACCUCUCCCCAAGAUCCAGUAAGGCUAGUGGGUUUUGGCUGCACAUUGGGGGAUCCUCUGAAAACCACUAAUGCUCAGCUCCACCAUCAACAGAAUCCCCAAGUUCGUUCCUCUGGGUACCAGCAUUUAUUAGACUUCCUCAAGCCAUCCUCUUGUUCAGGCAAGUUUGAGACCCUCUGGGCCAGGCAAAUGCAGACUGAAGCUUCCAGCCCUGGGCGCCAGCCCCUCCCAGAACUGCUCAGAUGUUCUGCUAAGCCCUACAGCCCCGACUGAUGUGUUUCAGAACUAGAAUUACUUUGUAUGUUAAAACCAAGAUGGAGACAUGCCUUGUCUAAUACUUCCGGACAGCUAGGAUGAUGUACUUCAAAGCAGGAUCUUGACUUCCAGGAAGAUCCCAACCUUGGAGCAUUUGCACAUCACUGGAGAGCCCUUUACGGCUUGAGGUCAUAGUACACAAGUGCCAGCUACUCUUAGUGGCAUCACAAAGUUGGUUCCCAAGUACAGCCUCAGGAUGAGGAGGCAGGGUGAGUCCUGUCCAGUCCGACAUCCUCUGUCACUUUGAGAACAAGCUUGCUGGCCCCUGAAAGAUGCUGCAGUCCCUGGGCGAAGAUAGGCUCUGAGAACAAUUUGGACCGUGUAGGACCCUGGCCUCACAUGGCCCCUCCUCAUUGCAUGACCGCCCUUAUGUCACUCGUCCACCAGGGGAAAGAGAGGACACAGUUCUGGAGAAGUUACCAUGUUCCCUCAACACCUGAUUGUGGAACAUUCCUCAGAGCUCAGAGACACUUCCCAGCAGCUGGAGGAGUCUCGUGGACCACUGGAUUCUUUUCCCAUUUGGGUUAUUACAGAAUAUUGAGUGGAGUUCCCUGUGCUAUACAGAUUCCACAUAGAAGCAAUAUCAUAUGGCAUUUGUCUUUGUCUGGCUUACUUCACCUAGUCUGAUCAUCUCUAGGUCCAUCCAUGUUGCUGCAAAUGGCAUUAUUUCAUUCUUUUUAUGGCUGAGUAAUAUUCCAUUGUAUAUAUGUACCACAUCUAAAAAGAAGGCGAAUUCCGCCCACAAGAACGAAGUUGGAAGAGAAGCUCGACCUUCCAGUGAAAAUACAGACCUUAAAAACUAGUUAAAAUAUCAAGUAUGAUCUACUCCACUCAAGGGGAUUUCAACCCAAUAGCUGAAACUCAGGAGAGUCCCUCGACUUUAUGGAAGACCCUAUUGAAUAUGCAGAAAAUGGAAGUGGGAUGGUCCAAAUCCACAGAGACGAACUCCCGUGCCAUCUGUAGAAUCGUUGACUCAGUCCCUGGACUGAGCAUCUCCCUGAGAGACCGCAAACUCCGGCAAAGAAGCACUCAACUGUCUUCGGCUCGCCUUCCGAAGGGAAGCAGUAUCUCUACCUGCUGCCCCAUCUGGCUCGAUCCACGAGAAGCAGCUGGAGGAGGGUUGCCGUGUGAGCCAUCAGGUGCGACCCCACGCCUCUGCAGGGUUCCCCUCUCGUUGCCAACAUCCCGGCAUGCGGAACACGGUGCAGGGAUUCGGAUGCACCGUGGCUUACGUUCCGGGGACACGGUAAGGAGCUUGUUAAUCAAUUACCGUCCAAUUCUGAUGGAUCCAGAGCCGCCCCCCCUUCCCUCCGAAGCAGAUGCUGGAGCUGAAAUGGUUUGUGUACCUACGUAGACAACGUGGUUUUACUUCAUCUCAGUGGAUACAGUGGCAGCUCCUUCUCCCUCCUUGUCCUCUGUGUGGGCUCCUGAACGGCCUCUUUUCAUCACCUCUGGGUCUUCUUCAGCCACCCCCUCCAUGAAUAACGCCUGAAAAAGAAUGCACGGCCAAGAAGCACUGCGCCAAGGUCAAGGCGGCUGAGGCUGAAUCACUGGUUUGUCUGCAGGGGUUCUGCAUUGCAAUCGAACUUCAAAGCCCCGGCGGGCGGUUCCUGCAGCAGGAAUGCAAUCGCCACAUCCAACCUUCAGAUCUCGGGUUGCAGAAGAGGCAGCCCACCCUCAAGCCUUUCCAGCCCAAGAGAAAGAUGGUUUCCACUGCGGGGCUGAACCAAGGGACUCGAACGCAGGAAGCAGUGCCACUCGAGGAUGUCAGGGCAACACCGACAGCCUUAAUACGUCAAGGAUUCAGCAGUGUCCAUCACAAACCUUUCCUUCUCUCUGAUUGCCUGAGAUUUUUGUCACGAGAUGUCUGGGAUCCUGAUGAGUCACUAGGGACGUGAAAUCAUAACUAGAAGAAACGCCACCAAGGAAACAAUGUGUCACAGGUCAGCAUAUGUGGUCGACCCUUCCUGACAACAUCUCACAACCACAGAACAGACGGGACGCCUGUGUUAUCCUGACGUAAAUAUGGACCCCAGGAGAAACCAGCUCUUUGGACCCACGGUAACUGUUCCUGGGAGGGCAUUAUUGGGGGUGGAUUUCCCAAGAUGCUGCUUACAAGUCAUUCCUUGGAAAACCCGAGAUUGUAGAGAACACUGAUGCAGAUCACAGGAUGGGGAUGACCGAAAAAUGGACCCCAGGGGAAAAACAGUUAAGUGGGUUAUUAUGGCUCUACCGGUCCGACCAAAUAAGGGAUGGUGGAUUUAUGAUCAGAUUCUGAAUUCUAGAACAGGAAGGGACCUGGAAUGAACAGAAGCGCAGACGCCCGGGGCUCAGCGAUGUGCAGGUUUGUCACGACUGUUUCUGGACCCAGAGGGAACCGGGUAAGGAUGGCAAGACUCAUCAGGGCUGUGUCCCCGCAGGAUGUAAGGUCUACUUAGCAACUGGCCCCUCCCUCCCUGGGGCCAUGUGUCAUUACUCAGCCCAUGGGGGUCAGGGUAGUUCAGAGGAUACUUGCUGAGGUUGCAGACCUGGAGAUCCAGGAUUUGGGGGAAGUUGGUGCCGAGAAGUGUCCCUUUCUUUUCUUCUCUUUUCCACGAGGAAGCUCAGCUCAUCCGCGGGUGUGGAAAGCUGAGAACGAGGUUCCGACCUGCAGGCUGGCUCAGUGUCCGUGAGGAUGGAUGUCCCCCUCACCAAGCACCGUAGGGGGGCAUAGGGUCAUCAGGGAAGGCUUCGAGAAGCACGAAAAGCUGCGUGGACAGACCCCCGGGAAUGGACAUGAUGACGAAGGUGAUGUACUGUCUGUCCACGGAGCAUCUCCCGUUUCCUAUCACAGGGUCCUACAAGCGCCUUUUCAUUUCCUCCUGUCCUUAGGGUGUGUUUCUUAAUACGGAUGAGCGUUUGAAAUUAGGUUGUGAUGUUGUCUGAUUUUUGUGCCCCCUCCCCUUGAAGGUGGGCUCUGUGGAGCAGAGGUGGGAGCUAACUCACUGUGACAUGACAGCGUCCAGCCGGUCUCCAGUGGUGGGGUCCUGAGGAGGAGUCUUAAAGAAAGUGAUACGUGGACUUCAACGUCUUUAGUCUGAAGGGAAGCAGCCUCGAAGAAACCUCGCCCUGGAUGUCCAGAGCUCCACAGUAACCUCUUCACUCGCCUAUGAAAGAAGUAGUUUUAAAACUAUCAGCUGCUCCUUCCUUUCUCCUGCCUCUGGAACCUCGUCCUCCCCUGACCCUGCAUGAAGAUGGUCCCUGAGGUCUGACCCUGGCGUCCUCUCCCUGAUCAGCGUGAUGGGGCCAAUGGAUUCUGCCAUCUCUCACCUUUAUGGAAGCUCCAAAACCUGUCGCUCCCUCCAAAGUGAAGUCCCUCCAGUAAACCUCUUCCUUCCUGAACUUGGCCCGUCACUAACAGCAUUCCCUACCCCAUCAAACAUCACAGCUGCUAAGCAACCUGAAAUCCAGACGUUGGGAAUUGAUUUCUGUGGCUGAGGAAGUGGGUCUCACCCUAACACAAGCCAGGGUGCCUGAGAAGCAGCAUGCCUGUCACCACAUCUGGAAUCUGCAGGCACAGUUUCUAAAGGAAAACCUGUACAACUGAACCACAGGUGAGGACAGACAUCCAAACAGAAUCCCCUGUGAGUCCCAAGGAGAUGGGGUGGCACGGCCAGACCCACAGAGGACCCUCCCACUGCCCUGAAAACUACCUUCCACAGCUUUAGUUUUAAAUCAUGGACUCACCCCUGAGUGCCCCCGGCUGUGUGGUUGUGCCUGGCUGAGAGCUGACUUGACUUUUACCCCAUGCCAUGUUCCCUGGGAGUCCUGGAGACCCCGUUACAGACUGUUUACAACAGCUGAGAUGUGGAAGCAACCUAAGUGCCUAUCGACAGAGGAAUGGAUAAAGAAGAUGUGGUACCUAUACACACAGUGAAAUGUUACUCAGCCAUGAAAAAGAAUGAAAUCAUGCCAUUGGCAGCAACAUGGGUGGACCCAGAGAUGAUCAUACUCAGUGAACACCUAGAAGCCUGCCAGCGUCAUGGUCUCUUCUUGCUUGAAAUCUUGAACUAAAAUAAGGAUUGAGGAAACACCCAGUACACACGUCCGUGCUGCAAACAGUUGAGUGAUAAAGACAGAAAAAUACAGAUAAGACUGUUUUGCUGAUGUGCUCAGGAAAGUCCAUUAGACCUGUCUUGGCACCAUUGUGUCUGUGAUCAAGUGACUGAAAGUGCCGUGGGACUCUGGGACAAAUGUGGAAGAACUCCGGUGACAGGAAGAUGCUUGUGUGAACAAAGAAGACGCGUAGAAGGUAAAGUUGGAGAGAAGAUUGGGAAGCGGGUCAUAUAAAACCUUGGAGGCUGUGCUGAAGACUUAGAUUAUAUUCGACCUGCAAUAUUAUAUCCUGGGAUAUUCUACCUAUAUAACAGAACGCGCACGAAUGACCUAUUCUCAUUUAUAUUUUUAUAACGUACUCUGGCUUUUAUGAGAGCAGUGGACAAGGGGAGACACUGUGUGAGUUUGCCAGGGCUGUCGUAACAGAGGACCACAGAAUGGGCGGCUUCAACACAGAAAUGUAUUUUCUCACGGUCCUGGAGCCUGGAAGUCUAGGAGUCAGGAGCCAGCAGGGUUGUCUGCUGGUGAGAUUUCUCUACCUGGCUUGUAUACGGCUGUCU